rnacentral:rRNA from 1 species
AUUGAACGCUGGCGGCAGGCCUAACACAUGCAAGUCGAGCGAGCGGCGGACGGGUGAGUAAUGUCUGGGAAACUGCCUGAUGGAGGGGGAUAACUACUGGAAACGGUAGCUAAUACCGCAUACCAUCAGAUGUGCCCAGGUGGGAUUAGCUAGUAGGUGGGGUACAGGCUCACCUAGGCGACGAUCCCUAGCUGGUGUGAGAGGAUGACCAGCCAUACUGGAACUGCGACACGGUCCAGACUCCUACGGCAGGCAGCUGUGGGGAAUAUUUGACAAUGGGCGCGAGCCUGACGCAGCCAUGCCGCGGGAGUGAAUAAGGCCUUCGGGUUGUAAAGCACUUUCAGCGGGGAGGCGUUACCCGCAGAAGAAGCACCGGCCAACUCCGUGCCAGCAGCCGCGGUAAUAC